CCGUGCUGUGCGGCGGGCACGGGGCGCAGCGCCGGUCUCGGGUGGUUGCACAGGGCUGUGGCUCGCUGAUGCUGCCUUGCAGCUCCACGUCAAUCCCACGUCAAUGUCAGCGCUCGGUGCUUUAAGUGAGUCGCUUCUAGUUUGUUUGCUUGUUUGUUUGUUUUUUCUUUUAAGGCAUUAAGUUAUGUCGCCAGCAGUUUAAUUUGAAGAGUGCAGUCCUGGCAGUGAAAUGAAUCCGACCUCUAAACUGAAAGCAGUAAUUGUUGGCUGCGUUUACCAAACCUAAAGCAUCACUUGAGGGAUGAGCGAGUGUUAUCAGCCUUUGCUUUGCUCACCAGAGGUGCCUGAUUGCUAUCAGUGGCCUCACCUCGGUGCUGAGCGGUGCAGCUCAGGCUGAUGCCUGCUGGCCAGGGAAGGAUUCUGGCAAUGCAAUGUGACCUGUGAGCUUAAAGUGGGUCUAAUUGGGGUGCUGAUCUCACAGGCUGCUCAUCAGGCCUCUGAAGUAGUGGGAAAUGAGGCACCUGGAGAGACUUGGUUUUGCUGAUAAGCCACUUUGAUUGGCAGGUGCAUGUCCUAAUUGUGAAGAUAAAUUACUGUUUUUCCCCAGUUUGGCUGGUGCUGCACUGUGACCCUGAGCGUGCCCUUUUUGCACAGCAGGCACAGAUCCCAAAGGGCCAGGGCAGCCCGAGGUGUCUCUGUGGCAGUGCCCUGCCAGGGCCAUAGCGCAGGGGCUGACCUCGAGUUCAGCUUGUAGGGAAACCCAUCAAUCAGUGCUGCGGAGCACAGUCCACAAAGGGCUUAGAGGCUGUCUUAUUUGCUGUACUGUGCUGGGAUACUCCUCUCCCUGGUGGUGGUUGUUCAUUAGGAGCAGCCUGAUCCUACAAUCUGUCAUUCUUCAUUCUGGAACUCUUUUGUUGGUGGAAUACAAUCUUUUUAACCUUAAUUUUGACUGACGCUCUCUGCUUUUCUCCCCAGGUCCUGGUGAAGCCAACAAUAGUCUCAUUUCAUAUUUUUUUUACUGGCUUGCUUUCCCCAGAUAAACGCUGUUGUGUUUUGCUUGAGGCCCAAUAGUAGAAUGCUCAGGAGAAUAAAACCUUUUUUUCUUCUCUUCCUUGUUUUAGGCAACAAAGGCAAUUAGGAGAUGAGUUGGUUUCUGGCUUCGGGAAUCUUCAGGCUCGGCUCUGUGCUGUUGCCUUGCAAGCAGGAAGAUGUCACAUGAAUUGUGACAGAAGUAUCUCUCACUGUUCUUGGUGGUGAGGAAAUCAUCCAGAGCUGUCUCCUGAAAUCGAGGUCUUGAUUUCUGCAGCUGUUUAAGAUUUGUAAAUUGUCUUACUGAUGGAACAAGAUAUAUGAUCAUUUGCAUGAAGGGUUAAGUCUUAAACUGUCCUAGAGAGUAUUCCUCAGUCAGCACAGACCAGUUAAUAAGUUUUGAAUUACUGAUUUCCUACUACUAAGCUUUUUACUUAUAUAAUGACUCAAUUUGUCUAUUAUGCAGCUCAGUUUGCCUUACCAUGUACUACUGCCAUGAAUUUUGAAAGGUGAGGUUUUAUCCAUUUUUAAAUUAACAACCAUAGCCCUUAAAAUCUGACCUUUUGUUCUUUGAACUUGAACUCCAGGUCAUUAGAGAGCUAACUGAGCUUUUACUGAGGCUAAAAUUCUAAAAGGUAUUAUACCAGCUAUAAGACCUUUGCAACUGCUGUGUUGUGGGGUGUCAGUAUCAAUUUAAGAAUCAUGAAGGAAUUGGAAAUGAGAGACUUGAGAACACUGGAGAAUCCUUUUUUAACUGGACAAAUAGUUUUGUGAAGAAUUAACCAGAUGUUAGCUGGAAGUAAAAGGCUGAAGUAGAGAGCACGUACUCAGAUAGCUAUCCCUGCUGGUACUUAACCACAUCAGUCUGUCAGAAUACAGUCAGAGUGGACAGAGAAUCGUGGCAGUGAACUUCACCUCUGGGAAAAAAAGAAAAAAAACACUUGGCAUCUAAGGCCUGAAUGUAUCAGCAGAGACCCAUGUUGUUGUGCCCUAAAAGAGCUUUUCUUUUUUUCCUGGCUACACCAAAUGCGUUCUGUGCUUAAUGGUUGAAAACACAGUUCUGCUUAGAUUUCUAGAAGCACAUUUCUGGAGGCCAACCUAAUAAAUCCCCUUGCACUUGGUACCUGGGAAAAUUAGCUCCAGUCUUAGGGCGUGUGGGAACCUGUCUGCUGGCACUGUGAUGAUGAUUCUCUGCCGUUUACCCAACUGAUUUCUGUGAUGAGUAACACUAUCUCUGAUGUGCCAGCUCAUCAGUAGGUGGCAAAUCAAAUGGGUUAAACCUUUUGUUUCUGACUCGAUUUAUUCUAAUCUUUCAAAGGUUAUCAGAUGACUUUCUCCGCUGACUUCAAGCUGUGUAUAGCCAACAGCAGACUGUUGAUUUCCACAAGUAUGGGUGCUUAAGAAGGUUGAGAACAGUGUGAAAAGUGGAUUUCUAAUGCACUUGGAAAUGCUUUGCUGGCCCUUCUUGCUUCUCAGAAGCACUGCUUGAUUUGAAUGUGCUCUGGGUGAAGUCCUGUGACUUGUAAUACCAUGCUGAAAGGAAGAAGUUGAGUAAGAUGGAGUUAGAGUUUAGAUGAAAAUGUGAAUAAUGCCUGAAUGAAGUUCAAGUGAGAGUGGAGUGAGAAGGGAGCCCUUCAGACAAUGUUAGAACUCGGUAUGAAUAUUCAAGUGCAGUCAAAGUUUGAUUUCAGGGUUAAAACACAGGAAAUUUUGUUUUCUUGCCUAAAUUAGUCUAUAUAAUGGUAGAAGCUGUUCUGCUCAUUUUCAAUGCAAUGUUUGUAUAAAUAAAAUCCUGGAUUUAUAUUU